AUAUGAAGGCGGGCUGGAACCUCUCGGGGUUACAGCCUUGCUGAAUUAUUCACCCUUGUCUUUUGCGUACUUCUUGUUUCCUUGGUGGGUUCGCCCACCACUAGGACAAACAUAAACCUUUUGUAAUUGCAAUCAGCGUCAGUAACAAAUUAAUAAUUACAACUUUCAACAACGGAUCUCUUGGUUCUGGCAUCGAUGAAGAACGCAGCGAAAUGCGAUAAGUAGUGUGAAUUGCAGAAUUCAGUGAAUCAUCGAAUCUUUGAACGCACAUUGCGCCCUUUGGUAUUCCAAAGGGCAUGCCUGUUCGAGCGUCAUUUGUACCCUCAAGCUUUGCUUGGUGUUGGGCGUCUUGUCUCUAGCUUUGCUGGAGACUCGCCUUAAAGUAAUUGGCAGCCGGCCUACUGGUUUCGGAGCGCAGCACAAGUCGCACUCUCUAUCAGCAAAGGUCUAGCAUCCAUUAAGCCUUUUUUUCAACUUUUGACCUCGGAUCAGGUAGGGAUACCCGCUGAACUUAAGCAU
rnacentral:rRNA from 1 species